AAGUCUUGAGGAGUGUGUACAUGUACAUGUGUGUACACAAAUACAACUCUGGGUAUGUAUACACACAAAUGUGUAUA
rnacentral:miRNA from 1 species